AUGCCGGGCCUGGCUCUCCUGGGCCUCGCGGCUGUCCUGGGCGUCAGGGCAGGGGCCCCACUGUGCCUGUCCCGGCAGCUCAGCCGGCCAGGGGACUAUGUGCUGGGGGGCUCUGCCCCCCUGGGCUCAGCUGAGGGUGCUCUCGUCUCCUGGGCUGCUCUGGGCGCUGGCCACGACGAUGGCCGUGCAGGAGAUCAACAGCGGGUUCACCCUGAUCCCCGGGGCUGCACCUGGGUCACAACCUCUCCGACACGUGCUGGGAGCCCGCGGUCGCCGUGAAGCCCAGCUUGGUGUUCACGGCCAAGACCGGCAGCUGCAGCGUCGCCGCCUACUGCGGUUAUGUGCAGCAGCAGCCCCACGUGCUGGCCGUCAUCGGGCGCCCCUCCCCCGAGGUCGCCGUGGCCACCAGCUCCUUCCUCAUGCCGCGCGUCGGCUACGGCGCCAGCACGGACCGGCUGAGCAGCCGCAAGACGUUCCCGUCCUUCCUCCGCACGGUGCCCAGCGACCGCGUGCCGGUGGAGGCCGUGGUGGAGCGGCUGUGGGAGCUGCACUGGAACUGGGUGGCCGCCGUGGGCAGCGACGACGAGUACAGCUGGCAGGGCCUGUGCCUCUGCUCCGGCCUGGCCGACGCCAAGGGCACUUGCAUCGCGCGCGAGGACCGGGUGCCGCUGCCCAGAGCCGGCAGCCCCGCGGCUGGGCUCCGUGCAAGGCCUGCCACGCCGGGUGAACCAGAGCAGCGUGCGGGUGGUGAGGUCAUCCACUAAUAGGCUCUCGCCCAAAAUGUGGGCGGCCAGCGAGGCCUGGCUGCCCUCAAACCUGGUCAUGACGCUGCCCAGCAUGGACCGGGUGGGCACCGUGCUCGGCGUCCCUCGUGAGGGUGCCCAGAUGCCCGAGUUCCCGUCCUACGUGCAGACGUGCCUGGCCCUGGCCGCAGCCCCCGCCUACUGCGCCUCGCUGGAUGCAGGGCAGCCAGGCCUGGAGGAGCACGUGGUGGGGCCGCGCUGCCCCCAGUGUGACUGCAUCACCCUGGAGAACGUGACUGACGGGCUGCUGCACCGCCAGACCUUCACGGCCUUCGCAGCCGUGUACGGCGUGGCCCAGGCGCUCCACAACACACUGCUCUGCGACACCUCGGGCUGCCCUGUGCGGGAGCCCGUGCGGCCCUGGCAGCUCCCAGAGAACACGCACAACCUGAGCCUGCGGUUUGACACCAGUGGGAACGUGGACGUGAAUCAUGACUUGAAGCUGUGGGUACGGCAGGACCGGACGCCCACACUGUGCACCGUGGGCACCUUCAAUGGCAGCCUGCAGCUCUGGCACUCCCAGAUGAGGUGGCACACACAGGGAAACCAGGAGCCUGUGCCCCAGUGCUUGCAGCAGUGCAAGGAGGGCCAGGUGCGCUGCGUGAAGGGCUUCCACUCCUGCUGUUACAACGGCGCCGACUGCAAGGCAGGCAGCUACCAGCGCCAUCCAGCACCCCCCUCUCCUCCCCCUGCCCUCUGCAGCAAGUGUGACCAGGACCACGGGUCCCCAGACUGGAGCACCAGUGCCUCCCCCGCCGGCCCAAGUUCCUGGGGCUGCUUCCGCUCUGGGCCCGGCUCUGGGCCUGGUGCUGGCAGCCCUGGGACUCUUCAUCUGGUGCCGGCACAGCCCAUGGUUCGGGCCUCGGGUGGGGGGCCACAGGCCUGCUCUGCCUGGGCCUCGUCUGCCUCAGCGUCCUCCUGCUUCCCGGCCGACUCAGCCCUGCCAGCUGCCUGGCCCAGCCGCCGCUGCACCACCUCCUGCUCACCGGCUGCCGGAGCACACCCUUCCUGCAGGCGGCUAAGAUCUUCGUGGGGUCAGAGCUGCAGCCGAGCUGGGCAGACCGGCUCUGCAGCCCGGAGGUGCCGACAGGCUGGCAAGUGCCGCCCACGGAGGCGCUGGCGCACUGCCACGUGCGCUCCUGGGUCAGCUUCGGCCUGGUGCACGCCACCAACGCCACGCUGGCUUUCCUCUGCUUCCUGGGCCCCUUCCCGGUAAAGAGCCGGCCCGGGGGCUACAACGGUGCCCGCGGCCUGACCUUUGUCAUGCUGGCUUACUUCAUCACCUGGGUCUCCUUCGUCCCCCUUUGCCGACGUGCACGUGGUCUCCCAGCCCGCCGUGCAGAUGGGCGCCAUCCUCUUCUGUGUGCUGGGCAUCCUGGGCACCUUCCGCCUGCCUAAGUGCUACCUGCUGCUGUGGCGGCCGGACCUCAACACCCCUGAGUUCUUCCUGGGAGGGGGUCCUGGCGAUGCCAGAGGGCGAGGCAGCAGUGGGGGCGGGGAGGAGACUCGGGGGAAAAACAAGCGACCCCUGACCCAGUGA